UAAUCCUGAUCAAAUCAAUGGAGUUUUCGGUGAGCAUCGGAUUGUUCAAGGUGCAUCCCUUGGUGAUGGUGAACAUGUCCGACCACUACACUCGCGUCGAGUCUAAGCUCAACCUUCCCGAUCCGAAUUCCAGCGCUUCUUCCAAUUCCCCUGCUUCACGUACGGUGGCAUUAUAGUUUGUCCAGAAGGGCUGCACCGUCGUUUUCUUCAACUUCCGUAAUCUUCAUCACUCCUCAUGGGUUCAAGAACUGUUCAGCAUUGUGCAUAACAUCCUCAGCUCCACUUUGUUAAUUCUUUUAUUUCUCCUGAUAUCGCACAUCAUCUCAACGCAUGUCUUCUGCGAACACAUAACUCCUGCAAAAUAUAGAAGGGUUUUGCAGUUGGAUGGAGGCUCAGUAAUUCUUCUUUCACCUUGUUCAUAAUGCUCUCAACUCACUUGGCUUUCUCAAAGAGAAUCUCUAGCAUGAAAUUGGAGCUAUGGUAAAAGUGGAUGAUACUGAAAAUAGUGACAUGAUUAGAGAAAGAGUCACUCACAGAGAAAGGAGAAAAAGAGUGAAAAUAGGCUUCUUAUGAGGACAAGAAUGGUGUUGUUGUGCCGUUAUGUGAGGCUGCCGAGAUGACCGAUGGGGAUGAUUAUGGGAUUCGGUAGCAAACAGGUGGUGACGGCAGUUUCUAUGGCUCCAUAUAUUAUUCCAGAAGUACCCCUGGUGUAAUGGCUUCUUCUUCUUUAUCUCACUUCUUAUUUCUUAUUUCUUAUUUCUUAUCUUCAACAAAAGAAAAGACAUAAAAUUGAAAUCUUUACCAAAUUCUCAGUUUGUUGGUGUUUAUUUCUUUUUUUUUUUUUUUUGGUUGGAGAUGGGAUUAUGUGCAGAUGUGGGAAGAUCUAAUUCCGAAGGCAAUAGAAGGAGGCAUUGAUGUCAUUGGAACCUACGUCUUUUGGAAUGUUCAUGAGCCUUCUCCUAGCAAUGUGCUUCGCUUUAUUUUAUUUUUACUCUUUCUCUCUCAAGUCCUUGGUUCUGUCUUUGACUCAAUCAUCUUCUCAUGAAAUUUUCUAACAUUUUGAAUUAUGUUUUGUGGUGUUUUUUGGUGAUGUGAAUAGAAUUCAGUACAAUUUCAAAUUUUUAGAUAUGAUCUGGUGAGGUUCGUGAAGACAAUACAGAAAGCAGGGCUAUAUGUUGUUGUAUAUCAUUAAAUUAUUACUUGGGUUUUUUUUCA